rnacentral:misc_RNA from 1 species
UUAAGUUCAGCGGGUAUUCCUACCUGAUCCGAGGUCAACGUUCAGAAAAUUGGGGGGUUUUACGGCCGGGAACCCGCCAGGCGUCCAGAGCGAGAGAGAUUACUACGCUCGGAGUCUUAGCGAGCCCGCCACUGUUUUUCAGGGCCUGCAGCCGGAGCUGCAGACGCCCCAACACCAAGCAGGGCUUGAGGGUUGAAAUG